UUUAAAAAAUGAAGCUAUGUCACUAAUGACGUGUCAUAAUGAUAAUAAUAGAGAUAUGGCUGAUAUUUUGCCUGUAUUGUUUCACUCUUAAAAUAGUCUUGUUCUUCCUGAUAAGCAGUACAAUAGCUCCUGGAGUCAACUAGUCUUUAUAAAGACCAUCGUUAUGCUCCAUUAGCAUUUUAAAAGAAUUAUCAGUUUGGGUGCUCAACUAUGACUUCAUAGAACGUCACUGCGGUUAGCUUUGGUAUGCCAUUUCGUUUAUAGGGAGUCCGGCUCUCAAGGUUUCCAAGGGCUGAGAGACCAAGACCUGAGAUCCUGAAGCGGCAUCGGGUGACUAAGAACCUGUGAAAGUCUCAUUCUUAAUUUAUAUUCCUAUAGAAAGUUUUUUUCAGUUUUUUUUGGUCCAAACUCAGUUGGGACAUAGUAUAUAUAUUUCUUCUUUUUGCAGUUUCAUACUAAAGUUUCUGAUACUGGAAGUGACGGAUCCGACUGAGUUCUAAUCGUUUGAGUUUAUACCUGGACUGAAUGAGUUCUUAUUAUUUGAGUUUCUUAGUAUAGUUUUACCAGGAGUGACUUAUUGGACGGACUUCUAAUUAAUGUUUUACUUCUCACUGUUUUAUC